rnacentral:lncRNA from 1 species
ACCAUUGAGACAGAUUCAUUGGCACUGAUCAGGUCCCUGACAGAAGCCUCAACACUCAACAUAUCUUCCUCCAGCUCUUGAGCGGCAAUGACCUCCAGCAUGCACUCCUCAAAAAAGUCGAGCCAACCACCAAACCUAACUCCCAAAAGGUUGCGUAAGGGACCAACAAAGUCGGCCCGGACGGGACGGAGCGAAGGAUUGGAAUCCACGACAGCUUGCAGCAAGAAAUACUAAGGCAAGGGCGAAGGCAGUAAAGAGAAAAGGCAAAAGCGACAGUGUAAGAAAGCUAGGACCCCCUUUAUAAACAAACUAAUUAUAGAAGUUGCAGCUAUGAAUUAUUUCAAUUAAUCACAAAAAGCAUCGAUAUAAUGCGACAACAAAAAAUUUAUACUAAAGCAUACAUAUGUUUGCUGUGUAUGCUCAUACUCUAACAAAAUUAGAAUUUCCAUUAUAUAUUUUUUUGUAAUUUACUAUGAUUUUUCAAAGAUUUAGCCAAAAUAAAUAAAAAAUAAAAAGAUAAAACCUUUAUAGCAAAAACUUUGUACUAAAACAUACCAUAUUAUAUGUUCAGUGUGUAGAUCUACUCCUGUGGAGUCCAAUAAAAUUGGACUUUACAUUUUAUGACUUUCCUAUGAUUUACUGCUUUUUCAAAGAUUUAGCCAAAAUAUAUAAAAAGAAAAAGACAAAAUCACCGUUACUGUAGCAAAACCGCCUUCAAAACCACUCUAGACAUGUAAACUACACGGUUUGAGAAGUUGAGGAAAUUAGUCUGUCGGGUUUUGGAGUUGAGGAAGUAAAAGCGGACUAUCUUGAAACUUAGGGGC